rnacentral:sRNA from 1 species
UACCACUGCAUACAGCUGCUUCUCCAGCCUCAGUAAACUCAGACACAGGCUGGCAUUGCCAGGUGGGAAAUUAGGAAGAGGUAGAAUGAUCUAGAGAUUUUUGCAAAGGCUUCAGACUCCAGGAAAGCUGAGAUCCAAGAAUGGUUUUACAGCUUCCCAGCUGUGUGAACCAGGGUGAACAAUAAGGGUAACUGCAAAUAUUUCUUCAGCAUUAACUCUGGGCCACACAUAUAUGCAAUAUUUGGCAACACCAUUAUGACAUCACAACCUGUUCCCAAUGAGACCAUCAUAGUGCUCCCAUCAAAUGUCAUCAACUUCUCCCAAGCAGAGAAACCCGAACCCACCAACCAGGGGCAGGAUAGCCUGAAGAAACAUCUACACGCAGAAAUCAAAGUUAUUGGGGUAAAUCUAAUUCAGAAUGUGUUGGAGAGGUGUUGGGGGAAGUGCCAAGAGAUGAUGUAUGUCUUGGGACUGGACAUCUGUCGUGAGUGUGGAGACCCUAAAGUUUUGCCAGAGGGACUUUAGGGUAGAAGCCACUUGGAGAAAACUGUCCCAGAACUUUUCCACAAGA